ACGAACGCUGGCGGCGUGCUUAACACAUGCAAGUCGAACGGAAAGGCCCUGCUUUUGUGGGGUGCUCGAGUGGCGAACGGGUGAGUAACACGUGAGUAACCUGCCCUUGACUUUGGGAUAACUUCAGGAAACUGGGGCUAAUACCGGAUAGGAGCUCCUGCUGCAUGGUGGGGGUUGGAAAGUUUCGGCGGUUGGGGAUGGACUCGCGGCUUAUCAGCUUGUUGGUGGGGUAGUGGCUUACCAAGGCUUUGACGGGUAGCCGGCCUGAGAGGGUGACCGGUCACAUUGGGACUGAGAUACGGCCCAGACUCCUACGGGAGGCAACAGUGGGGAAUAUUGCACAAUGGGCGGAAGCCUGAUGCAGCAACGCCGCGUGCGGGAUGACGGCCUUCGGGUUGUAAACCGCUUUCGCCUGUGACGAAGCGUGAGUGACGGUAAUGGGUAAAGAAGCACCGGCUAACUACGU
rnacentral:rRNA from 1 species